rnacentral:tRNA from 1 species
UCCCUGGAGGACUAGUGGUUAGGCCUCGGCACGCACGCUGCCAUGGCCCGGGUUCGAUUCCUGGCCAGGGAA